rnacentral:rRNA from 1 species
UAUUGGUCAAUGGUCGGGAGACUGAACCAGCCAAGCCGCGUGAGGGAGGAAGGUACAGAGUAUCGUAAACCUCUUUUGUCAGGGAACAAAGGCGGGGACGUGUCCCCGGAUGAGUGUACCUGAAGAAAAAGCAUCGGCUAACUCCGUGCCAGCAGCCGCGGUAAUACGGAGGAUGCGAGCGUUAUCCGGAUUUAUCGGGUUUAAAGGGUGCGUAGGCGGUCUUUUAAGUCAGCGAUAAAAAUUCGGGGCUCAACCCCGUCCGGCCGUAGAAACUGGGGGCCUAGAGUGGGCGAGAAGAGGGCGGAAUGCGUGGUGUAGCGGUGAAAUGCAUAGAUAUCGCGCAGAACCCCGAUUGCGAAGGCAGCCUUCCGGCGCCCUACUGACGCUGAGGCACGAAAGUGCGGGGAUCG